rnacentral:rRNA from 1 species
GUGUCAGCCGCCGCGGUAAUACGGGGGGGGCAAGCGUUGUUCGGAAUUACUGGGCGUAAAGGGCUCGUAGGCGGCCCACUAAGUCAGAUGUGAAAUCCCCAGGCUCAACCUGGGAACUGCAUCUGAUACUGGUGGGCUUGAAUUCGGGAGAGGGAUGCAGAAUUCCAGGUGUAGCGGUGAAAUGCGUAGAUAUCUGGAGGAAUACCGGUGGCGAAGGCGGCAUCCUGGACCGACAUUGACGCUGAGGAGCGAAAGCUAGGGGAGCAAACGGGAUUAGAUACCCCGGUAGUCC